rnacentral:rRNA from 1 species
UACAGAGGGGGCAAGCGUUGUUCGGAAUUACUGGGCGUAAAGGGCGCGUAGGCGGCCUUCUAAGUCAUGCGUGAAAUCCCCGGGCUCAACCCGGGAACUGCGUCUGAUACUGGAAGGCUUGAAUCCGGGAGAGGGAUGCGGAAUUCCAGGUGUAGCGGUGAAAUGCGUAGAGAUCGGGAAGAACAUCAGUGGCGAAGGCGGUCUGCUGGGCCGUUGCUGACGCUGAGGCGCGACAGCGUGGGGAGCAAACAGG